rnacentral:rRNA from 1 species
UACGUAGGUGACAAGCGUUGUCCGGAAUUAUUGGGCGUAAAGGGAGCGCAGGCGGUUGGAAUAGUCUGAUGUGAAAGCCCACGGCUUAACCGUGGAAGGUCAUUGGAAACUGUCCAACUUGAAUGCAGAAGAGGUAAGUGGAAUUCCAUGUGUAGCGGUGAAAUGCGUAGAUAUAUGGAGGAACAGCAGUGGCGAAGGCGACUUACUGGUCUGUGAUUGACGCUGAGGCUCGAAAGCGUGGGUAGCGAACAGGAUUAGA